rnacentral:rRNA from 1 species
CCUAUAGAUGGGGGAUAACUAUUGGAAACGAUAGCUAAUACCGCGUAAUAUCGAGAGAUUAUAGUGUGCAUAUGUACAUGUCUAUAGAUGAGCCCAAGUGAGAUUAGCUAGUUGGUGGGGUAAAGGCUCACCAAGGCGACGAUCUCUAGCUGGUUUGAGAGAAUGACCAGCCACACUGGAACUGAGACACGGUCCAGACUUCUACGGAAGGCAGCAGUGGGGAAUAUUGGACAAUGGGGGGAACCCUGAUCCAGCCAUGCCGCGUGUAUGAAGAAGGCCUUAGGGUUGUAAAGUACUUUCGGUAAUGAGAAAGGGUUAUACAGAAGUGUAUGAUUUUGAUGUUAGUUACAGAAGAAGCACCGGCUAACUCCGUGCCAGCAGCCGCGGUAAUACGGAGGGUGCGAGCGUUAAUCGGAAUUACUGGGCGUAAAGGGCACGCAGGCGGAUUGGUAAGUUAGAUGUGAAAUCCCUGAGCUUAACUUAGGAAUUGCAUUUAAAACUGCUGAUCUAGAGUUGUUUAGGGAGGGGUAGAAUUUCUCGUGUAACGGUGGAAUGUGUAGAGAUGAGAAGGAAUACCGAAGGCGAAGGCAGCCCCUUGGGAACAAACUGACGCUCAUGUGCGAAAGCGUGGGGAGCAAACAGGAUUAGAUACCCUGGUAGUCCACGCCGUAAACGAUGUCGAUUUGGAGGCUGGAGCAAUAAGUUUUGGCUUUCGAAGCUAACGCGUUAAAUCGACCGCCUGGGGAGUACGGCCGCAAGGUUAAAACUCAAAUGAAUUGACGGGGGCCCGCACAAGCGGUGGAGCAUGUGGUUUAAUUCGACGCAACGCGUAGAACCUUACCUACUCUUGACAUCUAGAGAAUCCCAGAGAGAUUUGGGAGUGCCUUCGGGAGCUCUAAGACAGGUGCUGCAUGGCUGUCGUCAGCUCGUGUUGUGAAAUGUUGGGUUAAGUCUCGCAACGAGCGCAACCCCCAUCUUUAGUUGCUACAUUAAGUUGAGAACUCUAAAGAGACUGCCGGUGAUAAGCCGGAGGAAGGUGGGGAUGACGUCAAGUCAUCAUGGCCCUUAUGAGUAGGGCUACACACGUGCUACAAUGGCUUAUACAGAGGGUUGCGAAGUGGCGACACGGAGCUAAUCUC